ACCACUGGGGUAUUUCCUAGUCUAACUGGAGCACUUUUCUGGCUGAAGUAAUUGCAGUGAAAGUUUACAAGUGAACUUAACGUUGGUGUUGACAACAAUUAAUCGUUAUUGCAGUUAUCGAUAAGCACAACAACAACAGCAACAGUAACGAGCAACAACAAC